UAAUAUAGAAUCAAGUCUUUCAGAUAAUACAUUCAAGUUUGAUGCAAAAAUAUGUGAAACAAAUGAAUGUGAGGCACCAGUAUCACUUAAAAUAUGUACAGAUGAUUGCAGAUAGUGUACGCAUCCUGUACUAGUCUGGGUUGACUUCUGCAUCUUAUUGAGUGAGGUUGUAAGCCCUUUCCUAGAUAGGAGGUCUGGUCUGGUUCUGAU
rnacentral:lncRNA from 1 species